rnacentral:rRNA from 1 species
GGGUCAGUAGGUCGGUCGUGCCACCGGUACGUACUGGACUCACUGAUUCCUCCUUCCUGAAGAACCGUAAUGCCAUUAAUUUGGUGUUGCGGGGAAACAGGACUGUUACUUUGAAAAAAUUAGAGUGUUUAAAGCAAGCUAACGCUUGAAUACAUUAGCAUGGAAUAAUGAAAUAGGACGAUCGAUCCUAUUUUGUUGGUUUCUAGGAUUGACGUA